rnacentral:rRNA from 1 species
UCCGUAGGCGGACGAUUAAGUCAGUGGUGAAAGUCUGCAGCUCAACUGUAGAACUGCCUUUGAUACUGGUCGUCUUGAGUUAUAGUGAAGUUGCCGGAAUAUGUAGUGUAGCGGUGAAAUGCAUAGAUAUUACAUAGAACACCGAUUGCGAAGGCAGGUGACUAACUAUAUACUGACGCUGAUGGACGAAAGCGUGGGGAGCGAACAGGAUUAGAUACCCUGGUAGUCC